ACUUUAGAAACUGUUCAUAAAGUCGUCUUUUGGCCUGGUGGUAGAACUCACAUUAUUUGAGUUGCCAAACUGUAAAACUACUCUUGCAAGGAAAUUUCCUGUAUUGUGCUUUAAGUUUGAAGAUUUGCACCGAAUGCCAACAGCCACCUAGCAUCUUUACUGCUCUUGCCCUUGAACUGAGAAAGGCCAAGCAGAGACCAAGAAAAACACACGUACACACUACAGUAUUUCUUCUAAUAAAACUUACCAUUUGGCAGCUACAUUUUCAACGCUAUGGAAAUGAAUCUCCCUGCUUUUUCUAGUGAUCUAAUUUUAAUUAAAAAUGCUCUAUAUCAAGAGACUGAUGCUCGAUAUAAAGGAAAAGUGACAAGUGAAGCGGAAAUGAAGGGGUACUUCACACAGAUUUUUGGAGCCAGUGCUCACCAAAUGCUUGAAGGAAUAGUGGAUAAUAUGAAGCAUGAUUUCCUUUCUAUGGAGCCACUUGGGUGGCUUGUUAGAUCUUAGUUCCCCGACCAAGGAUGGAACUCUGCAGUAGAAGCGGGGAGUCCUAACCAUUGGACCACCAGGGAAGUCUCGAAAUUCUGACAUGCAAACAACAACCGAAGCUUCAAACCG